GUGAAUUGUGCCACCCUCAAAUCUUGUUACAACAUUGGCAUAUUACCCGUCUGAUG
rnacentral:snoRNA from 1 species